CAAUAGCGUAUAUUAAAGUUGUUGCGGUUAAAAAGCUCGUAGUUGGAUUUCUGCUGAGAACGACCGGUCCGCCCUUUGGGUGUGUAUCUGGCUCUUUCUUGGCAUCUUCUUGGUGAACGUUGCUGCACUUGACUGUGUGGAGCGCUACCCAGGACUUUUACUUUGAGGAAAUUAGAGUGUUUCAAGCAGGCAUACGCCUUGAAUACAUUAGCAUGGAAUAAUAAGAUAGGACCUCGGUUCUAUUUUGUUGGUUUCUAGAGCUGAGGUAAUGAUUAAUAGGGAUAGUUGGGGGCAUUCGUAUUUAACUGUCAGAGGUGAAAUUCUUGGAUUUGUUAAAGACGGACUACUGCAAAAGCAUUUGCCAAGGAUGUUUUCAUUG
rnacentral:rRNA from 1 species